GUGGCAAGGGUAAAAUGGAAAGGAAUCAAAAGUUAAUGGCAUAACAGUAGAUAUGUUGAAGUGAAUAGUGCUUGAUGUGACUUAAUUCAUGGGUUGGUGGCUCAGAUGUGGAAUGAAACAAAGAGGAGAGGGAGGAGUCUCAAGCGUGACAGAGAGAAGGAAAAGAAGAAGAAGAAAAUAAAGGAAGAAAAGAAGAGGAAGAAGAAGAAGAAAGAAGAAGGGAAGGGAGCCCCGGUUGCGCUGCCAACUGAAGGAAAAAGCGUAGAUCUCCUUCCCCUUUACGCAAAGACCUCAAUUUUUCGAAUAGAAAAAGGUAAAUACUCAUCCCCACCUAGUCUUUUGAUGAAAUUAGGCUAUACAAAGGGUGGAUGUAGUCUAGAGGGGUCGGAUAAGGGUUGUAGAGGUGGUUAAAAGAGGA
rnacentral:lncRNA from 1 species